UACGUAGGGACCAAGCGUUGUUCGGAUUUACUGGGCGUAAAGGGCGCGUAGGCGGCUUAACAAGUCACUUGUGAAAUCUCCGGGCUUAACUCGGAACGGCCAAGUGAAACUGUCAAGCUAGAGUGCAGAAGGGGCAAUCGGAAUUCUUGGUGUAGCGGUGAAAUGCGUAGAUAUCAAGAGGAACACCUGAGGUGAAGACGGGUUGCUGGGCUGUCACUGACGCUGAGGCGCGAAAGCCAGGGGAGCAAACGGG
rnacentral:rRNA from 1 species